rnacentral:rRNA from 1 species
CCUACGGGAGGCAGCAGUGGGGAAUCUUGCACAAUGGAGGAAACUCUGAUGCAGCGAUGCCGCGUGAGUGAAGAAGGCCCUUGGGUUGUAAAGCUCUUUCGUCGGGGAAGAAAAUGACUGUACCCGAAUAAGAAGGUCCGGCUAACUUCGUGCCAGCAGCCGCGGUAAUACGAAGGGACCUAGCGUAGUUCGGAAUUACUGGGCUUAAAGAGUUCGUAGGUGGUUGAAAAAGUUAGUGGUGAAAUCCCAGAGCUUAACUCUGGAACUGCCAUUAAAACUUUUCAGCUAGAGUAUGAUAGAGGAAAGCAGAAUUUCUAGUGUAGAGGUGAAAUUCGUAGAUAUUAGAAAGAAUACCAAUUGCGAAGGCAGCUUUCUGGAUCAUUACUGACACUGAGGAACGAAAGCAUGGGUAGCGAAGAGGAUUAGAUACCCUCGUAGUCCAUGCCGUAAACGAUGUGUGUUAGACGUUGGAAAUUUAUUUUCAGUGUCGCAGGGAAACCGAUAAACACACCGCCUGGGGAGUACGACCGCAAGGUUAAAACUCAAAGGAAUUGACGG